rfam:Aedes albopictus isolate Foshan contig104395, whole genome shotgun sequence.
GAUCCCAUUAGCCUAGUGGUUGAGGCUAUGGGUCGUUAAUCCGGAGACGGCGGGUUCGAUUCCCGUUCCGGUCG